CACCACUUAUAUAAUUCUGUUUUACCAACGGCGACUCCACUCAUUGGACCAAAUGGCGUCGUACUGACCUGUCAAAGUCAAAAACUAUAAGAUUUGAUACUUUUCAUCCAGAAAUUUUUGGUCCCCCAAGACGAAGUUCAGCCGUU